GCUUACGGCCAUACCACCCUGAUCUCGGAAGCUAAGCAGGGUUGGGCCUGGUUAGUACUUGGAUGGGAAACCGCUUGGGAAUACCAGGUGCUGUAAGCU
rnacentral:rRNA from 1 species